GAUGAACGCUGGCGGCGUGCUUAACACAUGCAAGUCGAACGGAGAAACGGUAGCUUGCUAUCUUUUUUAGUGGCGGACGGGUGAGUAACGCGUGGGUAACCUGCCCUUUGCAGGGGGAUAACAGUGAGAAAUCGCUGCUAAUACCGCAUACCAACUUCUUUCGCAUGAAGGAAGUUUGAAAGAUUUAUCGGCAAAGGAUGGACCCGCGUUGGAUUAGCUAGUUGGUGAGAUAACAGCCCACCAAGGCAACGAUCCAUAGCCGGCCUGAGAGGGUGAACGGCCACACUGGGACUGAGACACGGCCCAGACUCCUACGGGAGGCAGCAGUGGGGAAUAUUGCACAAUGGGCGAAAGCCUGAUGCAGCGACGCCGCGUGAAGGAUGAAGGUCUUCGGAUUGUAAACUUCUAAUCAGCAGGGAAGAAAGGGCCUAUGGCCUAUGACGGUACCUGACUAAGAAGCCCCGGCUAACUACGUGCCAGCAGCCGCGGUAAAAGUGU
rnacentral:rRNA from 1 species